GUUAAGUCCCGCAACGAGCGCAACCCUUGAUCUUAGUUGCCAGCAUUCAGUUGGGCACUCUAAGGUGACUGCCGGUGACAAACCGGAGGAAGGUGGGGAUGACGUCAAAUCAUCAUGCCCCUUAUGACCUGGGCUACACACGUGCUACAAUGGGCAGAACAAAGGGCAGCGAAACCGCGAGGUUAAGCCAAUCCCACAAAUCUGUUCUCAGUUCGGAUCGCAGUCUGCAACUCGACUGCGUGAAGCUGGAAUCGCUAGUAAUCGCGGAUUCCAGCAGCCGCGGUAAUACGUUCCCGGGCCUUGUACACACCGCCCGUCACACCACGAGAGUUUGUAACACCCGAAGUCGGUGAGGUAA
rnacentral:rRNA from 1 species